GCUAGUAAUGGCAGGUCAGCAUACUGCCGUGAAUACGUUCCCGGGCCUUGUACACACCGCCCGUCACACCAUGAGAGUUGGGAAUACCCGAAGCCCGUGAGCCAACAAACGAGGCAGCAGUCGAAGGUAGAAUCAAUGAUUGGGGUGAAGUCGUAACAAGGUAUC
rnacentral:rRNA from 1 species